rnacentral:snoRNA from 1 species
AUCUUCAGGUUCAUAAGCGUGACGAUUGGGUGUUCGUGCUCCAUGCAUGACAUGUGCCUCCUUUGAACCUUGAUACGACAUCGGCACAUUACCCAUCUGACC